rnacentral:rRNA from 1 species
CCUACGGGAGGCAGCAGUGAGGAAUAUUGGUCAAUGGACGAGAGUCUGAACCAGCCAAGCAGCGUGAAGGAUGACUGCCCUAUGGGUUGUAAACUUCUUUUAUAAAGGAAUAAAACGUGGCACGUGUGCCUUUUUGCGUGUACUUUAUGAAUAAGGAUCGGCUAACUCCGUGCCAGCAGCCGCGGUAAUACGGAGGAUCCGAGCGUUAUCCGGAUUUAUUGGGUUUAAAGGGAGCGUAGAUGGGUUGUUAAGUCAGUUGUGAAAGUUUGCGGCUCAACCAUAAAAGUGCAAUUGAUACUGGCAGUCUUGAGUACAGGUGAGGUAAGCGGAAUGCGUGGUGUAGCGGUGAAAUGCUUAGAUAUCACGCAGAACCCCGAUUGCGAAGGCAGCUUACUAACCUGUGACUGACAUUGAGGCUCGAAAGUGUGGGUAUCAAACAGGAUUAGAUACCCCAGUAGUC